rnacentral:misc_RNA from 1 species
UUGGACUACUGGGGUUUCUAAUCCUGUUUGCUACCCACGCUUUCGCUCCUCAGCGUCAGUACCGGCCCAGAGUGCCGCCUUCGCCGCUGGUGUUCUUCCUGAUAUCUGCGCAUUUCACCGCUACACCAGGAGUUCCACACUCCCCUACCGGACUCUAGUCACAGCAGUAUCAGGUGGCGUCUCCAGGUUGAGCCUGGAGGUUUCACACCCGACUUACCGAACCGCCUACGAGCUCUUUACGCCCAAUAAAUCCGGACAACGCUCGCCCCCUACGUGUUACCGCGGCUGCUGGCACCC